CCUACGGGUGGCAGCAGUGGGGAAUAUUGCGCAAUGGGCGAAAGCCUGACGCAGCGACGCCGCGUGAGGGAUGAAGGUCUUCGGAUCGGAAACCUCUGUUAGCAGGGAAGAAAGGUCACUGUGCUAAUCAGCAGUGAAUUGACGGUACCUGCAAAGGAAGCACCGGCUAACUCCGUGCCAGCAGCCGCGGUAGUACGGAGGGUGCGAGCGUUAAUCGGAAUUAGUGGGCGGAAAGCGCUCGUAGGCGGUAUGUCAAGUCAAGGGUGAAAUCCCCUGGCUCAACGUGGGAACUGCCUUUGAAACUGGCAAACUGGAGUGUGUGAGAGGAUAGUGGAAUUCCUGGUGUAGGAGUGAAAUCCGUAGAUAUCUGGAGGAACAUCAGUGGCGAAGGCGACUAUCUGGCACAUAACUGACGCUGAGGAGCGAAAGCGUGGGUAGCAAACAGGAUUAGAUACCCCGGUAGUC
rnacentral:rRNA from 1 species